UACGGCUCAGUAACACGUGGGUAACCUGCCCUAUGCUGGGGGAUAACCUCGGGAAACUGAGAAUAAUACCCCAUAGUUCACCACGCCUGGAACGGUGGGUGGACCAAAGCUCCGGCGGCAUAGGAUGGGCCUGCGGCGUAUCAGGUUGUAGGGGGUGUAAUGUACCCUCUAGCCCUCUACGCGUACGGGUGUUGAGAGACAUCGCCCGGAGAUGGAUUCUGAGACACGAAUCCAGACCCUACGGGGUGCAGCAGGCGCGAAAACUUGGCAAUGCGAGAAAUCGUGACCAGGGAACUCCAAGUGCAUCGGGUAAGACCGAUGCUUUUCUUGACUCUUCAAAGGUCUUGGAAUAAGGGGUGGGUAAGGACGGUGCCAGCCGCCGCGGUAAUACCGGCGCCCCAAGUGGUAGUCGCUUUUAUUGGGCCUAAAACGUCCGUAGCCGGUCUGGUACAUUCGUGGGUAAAUCAACCAGCUCAACUGGUUGAAUUCUGCGAGCACGGCCAGACUUGGGACCGGGAGAGGUGUGGGGUACUCUCAGGGUAGGGGUAAAAUCCUGUCAUCCUGAGAGGACCACCUGUUGCGAAGGCGCCACACUAGAACGGAUCCGACGGUCAGGGACGAAGCCUAGGGGCACGAACCGGAUUAGAUACCCGGGUAGUCCUAGGUGUAAACGCUGUGGACUUGAUGUUGGGGGCGCUCCGAGCGCACUCAGUGUCGAAGCGAAGGUGAUAAGUCCACUGCCUGGGGAGUACGGUCGCAAGGCUGAAACUUAAAGGAAUUGGCGGA
rnacentral:rRNA from 1 species